rnacentral:rRNA from 1 species
GAUGAACGCUGGCGGCGUGCUUAACACAUGCAAGUCGAACGGGAAACCUUUUAUUGAAGCUUCGGCAGAUAUAGCUGGUUUCUAGUGGCGGACGGGUGAGUAACGCGUGGGUAACCUGCCUUGUACAGGGGGAUAACAGUCAGAAAUGACUGCUAAUACCGCAUAAGCGCACAGGACCGCAUGGUCCGGUGUGAAAAACUCCGGUGGUAUAAGAUGGACCCGCGUUGGAUUAGCUUGUUGGUGGGGUAACGGCCCACCAAGGCGACGAUCCAUAGCCGGCCUGAGAGGGUGAACGGCCACAUUGGGACUGAGACACGGCCCAGACUCCUACGGGAGGCAGCAGUGGGGAAUAUUGCACAAUGGGGGAAACCCUGAUGCAGCGACGCCGCGUGAAGGAAGAAGUAUCUCGGUAUGUAAACUUCUAUCAGCAGGGAAGAAAAUGACGGUACCUGACUAAGAAGCCC